UCUACGGUCAUACUACGUUGAAAACACCGGUUCUCGUCCGAUCACCGAAUUUAAGCAACGUCGGGCCCGGUUAGUACUUGGAUGGGUGACCGCCUGGGAAUACUGGGUGCUGUAGACU
rnacentral:rRNA from 1 species